UACGUAGGGUGCGAGCGUUGUCCGGAAUUACUGGGCGUAAAGAGCUCGUAGGGGGUUUGUCGCGUUGUUCGUGAAAUCUCACGGCUUAACUGUGAGCGUGCGGGCGAUACGGGCAGACUAGAGUACUGCAGGGGAGACUGGAAUUCCUGGUGUAGCGGUGGAAUGCGCAGAUAUCAGGAGGAACACCGGUGGCGAAGGCGGGUCUCUGGGCAGUAACUGACGCUGAGGAGCGAAAGCGUGGGGAGCGAACAGG
rnacentral:rRNA from 1 species